GGCGUGCGAUACAGGGUGACAGCCCCGUACACAAAAAUGCACAUACUGUGAGCUCGAUGAGUAGGGCGGGACACGUGGUAUCCUGUCUGAAUAUGGGGGGACCAUCCUCCAAGGCUAAAUACUCCUGACUGACCGAUAGUGAACCAGUACCGUGAGGGAAAGGCGAAAAGAACCCCGGCGAGGGGAGUGAAAAAGAACCUGAAACCGUGUACGUACAAGCAGUGGGAGCACGCUUAGGCGUGUGACUGCGUACCUUUUGUAUAAUGGGUCAGCGACUUAUAUUCUGUAGCAAGGUUAACCGAAUAGGGGAGCCGAAGGGAAACCGAGUCUUAACUGGGCGUUAAGUUGCAGGGUAUAGACCCGAAACCCGGUGAUCUAGCCAUGGGCAGGUUGAAGGUUGGGUAACACUAACUGGAGGACCGAACCGACUAAUGUUGAAAAAUUAGCGGAUGACUUGUGGCUGGGGG
rnacentral:rRNA from 1 species